CUCCCACUUUACCCAUUUCGUCUUAACCCCACUUUCUUUGAGGAAGUAACUGACGAUAACACACUACAGCAACCUGUGAAAUUUCAAACUGCUAUUUUUGAUUUUCGCAUCCCUGUUUGAUUUGAUCUUUGUUCUCAAAAUCGAGUCUUCGUAACCGCAAUGGGUAUGAUUAGAACCCGAAUAAUUUGGUGUCUAUUAUUGUUCUCCUUGAAGAAUCAAUUAAGCAAUCACCAUUUCGGUUAAACAAUUUCGGAUUCUGCAUGUGAUGCUUCUGUUUUUUGAGAUUUUGGGUUCUCAAAUUUCGGAUUCUACAUUGAUCAUUCUGAAUUUUCUUCACUUUUUUUAGGAAGUGGAGACUUGGAAUUCAAAAGCCUUACAACCACAGGUUUUUUGGAAACUUCAAAGUCUCUGUAGUGAUCAUGUUCUCAACGAGGUACGUACUUUACUUUGGUUUGAAAAGUAAAGUUGUUAAGAAGUCUGAUACCGGACGUAGUUGUAACCCUGAAGUUAUCUUCAUAAUCAGUGCAUGUUGGUGUUUUUAUCAAACCUAUUGCCAAAAUUCUAUGCAAUGAAGAAUUUCUUAUUCUAAGUAUACCAUUUCAGGUAUGUCUCAUACUACAUAUUAUGAGCCUUCUUCUCCCUUUCAAAUUAAAUGUAACUACUAUCUUCCCAUUUUAUGUUCUUUCCAUGUGUUCCACGGAAUGGCUUGAAUGUAAGCAAAAAAACAUCAUUAUUAUGUACUCUUAUCAUUCAUUGUGUAUUAGCAAGGAGUAACCUAACAUUUA